UUCCCUACGGGAGGCAGCAGUGGGGAAUAUUGCACAAUGGGCGAAAGCCUGAUGCAGCAACGCCGCGUGAAGGAAGAAGGCCUUCGGGUCGUAAACUCCUGUCCUUGGGGAAGAAGAACUGACGGUACCCAAGGAGGAAGCCCCGGCUAACUACGUGCCAGCAGCCGCGGUAAUACGUAGGGGGCAAGCGUUGUCCGGAAUUACUGGGUGUAAAGGGAGCGCAGGCGGGAAGCCAAGUCAGCUGUGAAAACUACGGGCUUAACUUGUAGACUGC
rnacentral:rRNA from 1 species